UAAACCUGGUUGAUCCUGCCAGUAGUCAUAUGCUUGUCUCAAAGAUUAAGCCAUGCAUGUCUAAGUAUAAACUGCUUAUACUGUGAAACUGCGAAUGGCUCAUUAAAUCAGUUAUAGUUUAUUUGGUGGUACCUUCUUACUCGGAAUAACCGUAAGAAAUUUAGAGCUAAUACGUGCGUAAAUCCCGACUUCUG
rnacentral:rRNA from 1 species